rnacentral:pre_miRNA from 1 species
UCUCGUGUGCCUUCCAGGACAGAGCGAUGUGGCCGCGCCGUCAAAGCCGGUUGAUCAUAGGUCAUUGCGCAGCUAUCACAGCCAGCUUUGAUGAGCACGGCCGCAUUGCCAGCCACCCAGCCCACGCCU